AACGAACGCUGGCGGCAGGCCUAACACAUGCAAGUCGAACGCCCUAGCAAUAGGGAGUGGCAGACGGGUGAGUAACGCGUGGGAACCUUCCCUGUGGUGCGGAAUAACUCGCCGAAAGGCGUGCUAAUACCGCAUAAGCCCGCAAGGGGAAGAUUUAUCGCCAUAGGAUGGGCCCGCGUAGGAUUAGCUAGUUGGUGAGGUAAUGGCUCACCAAGGCGACGAUCCUUAGCUGGUGAGAGAAUGACCAGCCACACUGGGACUGAGACACGGCCCAGACUCCUACGGGAGGUAGCAGUGGGGAAUCUUGGACAAUGGGCGCAAGCCUGAUCCAGCCAUGCCGCGUGAGUGACGAAGG
rnacentral:rRNA from 1 species